ensembl:ncRNA lncRNA:CR43695 long non-coding RNA:CR43695
ACUUUAGUUCUAGUUGAGUGACUAUUAGUUAUUAAUUUUAUGUACACUUGCAUAGGCAUUUCUCUCAGUGCGCCCAGUAAGUGAGUGAGCUGCUGAACGCCCACUUUUUGCUGAGGCAGUGCGGCAAAUUCACUGCAGCAGCAACGGGAAAAGUGGAAGUGGAAUGUGGAAACAGGAGCGUCGUCUCCAUGGCCACGGCGUCCAUCGUUUGUCCCACGUUCGACGUCUGGGUUGCUAGGAUGCUGCGAUGCUGGGAUGCUGGGCCAUUGGGUUGCCUCAAGUGGAUGACGACCACCAGCCAGUUUCGCCGUAUCUGGCCACCACAAUCGACGUGCCACAACGGCUCGCAAUCCGAGAAUCCCAGAAUCGUUGGACCUGCACCCAGAGGAGAUGGUGCUGGAGAUGGAGAUGCGGUAGCCGGAGUGGAAGUAGAAGUGGGAGUAAAAUUGGGAGCGGGAAUUUGGGUCAGCAUCCCCUUCUCGACGGUGACUGCAAUUUUUUGGCAUGAUUCAUGACCGCACCAUGGCAAUGUCGUUUUCGUCGUCUACGCGCGACUUAACACACACAAAAAGCGGCACAGACACAUGCAGCAUGCACUGCGAGAAAUUAAUAGGAGUGCGAGUCAAAUUGGAUUAGUACGAUUUUGUAAGAAGAUACCAUACAUACAUACCAUAUAUAUAUAAAUAGUUAUUUUACAUU